GGGCUUCUUAAUGGUUUUCUGUUUUGCUCUGGCUGUUUUCUCACUCUUUUUUCCUGGCCUGAGCGAGGAGCGGGGCUGAGAAGAGUGGUAGAGUUUCAGAAACCCACAUCCACAGAGCCUUGGCGAAGAGACGGGAAACCGCCUCACCCCGGGUUCUUGUGUGGGCGCUGUUUACUGCACCCUCCUCGCCCGAGGCGACCUGACAGCGAAGCAGAGCGUAGGUCUAGGUGGCUGAGACGCCAGGGGAGGUGAAGUGACCGAAGGAAAUGUUUCCUGACAUAUUCGGUGGAUUUUUUUUAAAAACAUAUAGCAUCUGUAAGUUGUAUCGUCAAAGGUAAAUAAAAGAACCUGUGACGCUCAGC
rnacentral:lncRNA from 1 species